AAAUCCCGUAGCCGGUCCUGUUCUCAACCUUGACAUAGGGCCAGUGGGACAAGGCUGUGGGCAAAGUGUGAGUUUGGGGUUUUCUUGUUUAGGGGGUCCCCGGACAGAGCUCUAGUGACAGGGGUCUCUUGUGGAAAUUGCACUCUAUCAGACCUGGGGCUCUGUCCUGCUGGCCUUGUUACCUGGGCAAGUCACCUCACCUCUCUGAGUCCCAAGUUCCAAGGAGAUGACCUCCGAUCCCUUCUAGCUCAGCCACUCCCCCCUGGGGAAGAGGCCAAACCUCUCUGCAAUCUUGGUACACACACACACACACACACACAGCACAGCCAAAGCUUCAACAUAGGGCUGCAUUGUUACCUCUGGAGAGAUGGAUCUGGGCGUCCCCACACCCAGGACCUGGAGCCCACCUGUCCUGCCAUCUUCUCUGCUAAGGCCCCACCCCACUGCAGUGCAGGGGCCGCUGAAUCCAGGGUGCCUUCCUGGGAGCAGAAACAUCUGAAGAGGACUCUGGAGAAGAGGUGGACUUGUUCACUGAGGAGUGGACCCCGUCAAAGGUGCCUGGUCUUUUGUUCCCUGGAAUCCACUUCUCAGGUAUGUGCUGGGGUCCCUUGUGGCUUCACUGAUACUGGUGAUCUACUCUCUCUGAGCCUCAGUCUCCCCAUCUGUAAAAUGGGACCAGUAAGCCCUCAUAGGGCUCUCUCGGUGCUUAAGUGAGAUCACCCUGGAGUAGGCCAAGG
rnacentral:lncRNA from 1 species